ACACUCCUGCGGGAGGCAGCAGUGGGGAAUAUUGCACAAUGGGCGCAAGCCUGAUGCAGCCAUGCCGCGUGUAUGAAGAAGGCCUUCGGGUUGUAAAGUACUUUCAGCGGGGAGGAAGGCGAUAAGGUUAAUAACCUUGUCGAUUGACGUUACCCGCAGAAGAAGCACCGGCUAACUCCGUGCCAGCAGCCGCGGUAAUACGGAGGGUGCAAGCGUUAAUCGGAAUUACUGGGCGUAAAGCGCACGCAGGCGGUCUGUCAAGUCGGAGGUGAAAUCCCCGGGCUCAACCUGGGAACUGCAUUCGAAACUGGCAGGCUAGAGUCUUGUAGAGGGGGGUAGAAUUCCAGGUGUAGCGGUGAAAUGCGUAGAGAUCUGGAGGAAUACCGGUGGCGAAGGCGGCCCCCUGGACAAAGACUGACGCUCAGGUGCGAAAGCGUGGGGAGCAAACAGGAUUAGAUACCCUAGUAGUCCCAUGA
rnacentral:rRNA from 1 species